rnacentral:rRNA from 1 species
AGUGAACGCCGGCGGUAGGCCUAACACAUGCAAGUCGAACGGCAGCACAGUAAGAGCUUGCUCUUACGGGUGGCGAGUGGCGGACGGGUGAGGAAUACAUCGGAAUCUACUUUUUCGUGGGGGAUAAUGUAGGGAAACUUACGCUAAUACCGCAUACGACCUACGGGUGAAAGCAGGGGAUCUUCGGACCUUGCGCGAUUGAAUGAGCCGAUGUCGGAUUAGCUAGUUGGCGGGGUAAAGGCCCACCAAGGCGACGAUCCGUAGCUGGUCUGAGAGGAUGAUCAGCCACACUGGAACUGAGACACGGUCCAGACUCCUACGGGAGGCGGCAGUGGGGAAUAUUGGACAAUGGGCGCAAGCCUGAUCCAGCCAUACCGCGUGGGUGAAGAAGGCCUUCGGGUUGUAAAGCCCUUUUGUUGGGAAAGAAAAGCAGCAGGUUAAUACCCCGCUGUUCUGACGGUACCCAAAGAAUAAGCACCGGCUAACUUCGUG